UUCGGAUUGUAGUCUGCAACCCGACUACAUGAAGCUGGAAUCGCUAGUAAUCGCGGAUCAGAAUGCCGCGGUGAAUACGUUCCCGGGUCUUGUACACACCGCCCGUCACACCAUGGGAGUCGGAAAUGCCCGAAGUCUGUGACCCAACCUACGGGAGGGAGCAGCCGAAGGCAGGUCGGAUGACUGGGGUGAAGUCGUAACAAGGUACC
rnacentral:rRNA from 1 species